AGUGAACGCUGGCGGUAGGCCUAACACAUGCAAGUCGAACGGCAGCACAGUAAGAGCUUGCUCUUACGGGUGGCGAGUGGCGGACGGGUGAGGAAUACAUCGGAAUCUACUUUUUCGUGGGGGAUAACGUAGGGAAACUUACGCUAAUACCGCAUACGACCUACGGGUGAAAGCAGGGGAUCUUCGGACCUUGCGCGAUUGAAUGAGCCGAUGUCGGAUUAGCUAGUUGGCGGGGUAAAGGCCCACCAAGGCGACGAUCCGUAGCUGGUCUGAGAGGAUGAUCAGCCACACUGGAACUGAGAACCGGUCCAGACUCCGACGGGAGACAGCAGUGGGGAAUAUUGGACAAUGGGCGCAAGCCUGAUCCAGCCAUACCGCGUGGGUGAAGAAGGCCUUCGGGUUGUAAAGCCCUUUUGUUGGGAAAGAAAAGCAGCAGGUUAAUACCCCGCUGUUCUGACGGUACCCAAAGAAUAAGCACCGGCGAACUUCGU
rnacentral:rRNA from 1 species